CCGCGGAUCCUGCCGUCCCUGUGCGCAGCGUGCUCCCCUGUGCUCCUGCGCGCGAGGUGCCGCGCGCUCUGCGUUCCUGCUGUCCCUGGGUCCCUGUGCAGAUCUGUCUGCUCUGCAUCUUCAACAACAGGGACGCUGUCUGCCUGCUGUCCCUGCGCCAAUCGAAGAUUUGCGCAGAUCCGCCCGCCGUUCCUGCGCACGGCUUGCUCUGCGCAAGAUCCGACGUCCAGGGAGUGCGCAGAUCCGGCUGCUGUCAAAUCCUGCCGCAUCUGCCGUCCCGCUGUCCCUCGUCACCAUCGCAGUCACCUCGUCUUGUGGGCAGGGCUGCAGAUCUGCGCCGUUGCUGUCUCUGCGUAGGUGGCUGCCAUUGCGGGCAGAGUUGAGGUGGCCUUGAUUAUCUGCAGCAGGGUGACAGCUGCUGUCCAUCUCGGUUUUCGCUGCCCAGGAUCUUCGUCAAGUCGUCCAAGUCGGGCUGCUGUCAGUUGCGGCUCCUCUGGUUUGUUUGGUUUCACUUAUUUCCAUUGAAUUCAAUAUGACGACAAAUGCUAUUGUGGUUAAUAUCACUCUCGAUGGUCAAAAUUAUCCGGAGUGGGCUUUCUGUGUUGAGACUGCACUCCGGGGACAUGGAUUACUCUUCCAUUUAACUGAUGCAGCACCUGUUCUUGCUGAUGAUCGUCGCAAUGCUGCUGAUAUCAAAACAUGGCAGCUUAAUGAUGGUAAAGUGAUGGCUGCUAUGGUGAACAGCGUCAAACCGUCUAUGAUUAUGAGUUUGUCUAAAUUCAAAACUGCUAAAUCCAUCUGGUCUCAUUUGAAGGAGCGUUUUGUUCAGGAUAGUGGUGCUCUAUUACACACCCUUAUGCAGCAGACACAUGUUAUUGAGCAAAAUGAUAUGAGUAUUGAUGAGUACUACUCAGCCUUUGAUCGCCUGAUGAGUGCUUUGACAUCAAUGGUGCCUGCUUGUACUGCUGAUCCAUGUCCGGCUCAUAAGUUUAUUGAGAAGUUCUUCACUUACAGAUUUGUUAUGGGUGUUCGGGCCGAGUUUGAUUCUCUUCGUGCUCGUUUACUUCAGGGUUCUGACACUCUCACAAUGGCUAAGGCGCUGUCUGAUUUACUUGCUGAAGAGACUCGUCUUAACUCUCUUUCCUCUAAUGGUGGUAAUCCUCACAGUGUGUUGGCUGCUGCCCAGAAACCUAAGAAUAUUUUUAAGCCUUGUGAUCAUUGUGGCAAGACCAAUCAUCGAUCUGAGCUUUGCUUUGUCAAGUUUCCUGAGAAGUUGACUGAUUUCCGUGCACGACGUGCUGCUCGUGGUCGUGGUCCAGGACCAUCUAAUAGAGGCUCAGUUGCUGUUGCUGCCACUUCGUCCGCUUGUACUUCAGAGUCGGCCUGGGUACUUGAUUCAGGAGCUUCCUUUCAUGUCACAUCUGAUCAGUCAAAGUUGGCUUCUACUACACCUGUCACAAAUGGUGCUUCAGUGCAGACAGCUGAUGGACCUUCGUACAGGGGAAGUGAUUGGGACUGGCCGUCGCCGUAGAGCUGCUCCUCGCCUCUACAUCUUGGACUCUUUGCGGCUUCCUUCCUUGGCUACAUCUCCAGCGCAUGUGCUUUCAGCUACCCUUGCUUCUGUUGCGUCUUUUGCCCAGUGGCAUCAUCGUCUAGGUCAUUUGUGUGGAUCUAGAUUGUCUACUCUAAUAAAGUCAGGUUGCUUAGGUCAUACUUCGGUUGAGUCUGAUUUUCAUUGUAAGGGUUGUCAUCUUGGAAAACAAAUACAACUUCCAUAUUUUACUAGUCAUUCUCAUUCUGUUCAACCCUUUGAUUUGGUUCACUCUGAUAUUUGGGGUCCUGCACCUUUUGUGUCAAAAGGUGGAUAUAAAUACUAUGUUGUUUUUAUUGAUGAUCAUUCUCGCUACACUUGGAUUUAUUUCAUGAAACGCCGCUCUGAGCUGAUUUCUAUUUAUAAAACCUUUGCUCGUAUGAUUCACACUCAAUUUUCCACUCACAUUAAAACCUUUCGUUCUGAUUCUGGUGGUGAAUAUUUAUCUGAUAAUUUCCGCCAGUUUUUGACUUCAGAGGGUACUCUUGCUCAGCUUUCUUGCCCUGGUGCUCAUGCACAGAACGGUGUGGCUGAACGCAAACAUCGUCACAUUAUAGAAACUGCUCGCACUUUGUUGAUAUCUUCUUUUGUCCCGUCACAUUUUUGGGGUGAAGCAGUUUCUACUGCAGUUUACCUCAUCAAUAGACAACCGUCAUCCAAACUCUCUGGCAAAACACCUGGUGAAGUUCUUUUCGGAACUCCUCCACGAUAUGACCACCUUCGAGUUUUUGGAUGUACGUGUUAUGUACUAUUAUCACCUCGUGAACGUACUAAAUUGACUGCUCAAUCUGUUGAGUGUGUUUUUCUUGGAUAUAGCCCUGAACAUAAAGGCUAUCGAUGUUAUGAUUCAUCUUCUCGUCGCAUGCGUAUUUCUCGAGAUGUGAGCUUCAAUGAAAAUCGUCCCUUCUUUUACAACUCUUCCACUCAUUCUUCUUUUUAUUCCACAGAGUCUACCUCCUUCAUGAGCCUUCCUCCCAUUUCCGAAACUUCAUCAGUAUCACCACCUACUGUUUCUACUCCAGAUGUCCUUAUUCCCAUCACACCACCUUCCACUUCCACAACAUCUCCGUCUUACUCUUCCAAACCACCUGUCACUCAGACUUACAUUCGUCGUCCUCGCUCUACUCCCGCGGCCAGUCCUGAUGACGAUCCUGUUGAUGAUACUUGUACUAACAAUGAUGACUCUCAUGUUGUUUUUAAUCAGGGGUAUCAUCUUCGUGACCGUGGCACUAUUGCAGCUCCAGAACGUUAUGGGUUUUCCCGUGCUGGUGCAGUCAUUGCUGAACCAUCAUCUUAUAAAGAGGCGUCUGGUAUACCUGAGUGGCAGCUUGCUAUGACUGAUGAAUUAAAUGCCCUUCAUCGCACAUGUACAUGGGAUGUUGUUCCGUUACCUGCUGGUGUUGUACCUAUCACGUGCAAAUGGGUAUUCAAGGUUAAAACCAAAUCUGAUGGGUCUAUUGAGCGAUAUAAAGCUCGUCUUGUGGCCAGAGGUUUUCAACAGACACAGGGUAUUGACUAUGAUGAGACUUUUGCACCUGUGGCCCAUCUGACUACUGUCCGAGCUUUACUUGCUGUUGCAGCCUCAUCUUCUUGGACUAUCUCUCAGAUGGAUGUCAAAAAUGCUUUUCUUCAUGGUGAUUUACAUGAGGAAGUCUAUAUGCAUCCACCUCCUGGGAUAGAGGUUCCAUCAGGGCAUGUAUGUCGUCUCCGUCGAGCCUUGUAUGGUCUCAAACAAGCUCCUCGUGCUUGGUUUGAGAGAUUUGUUUCUGUCAUCAAGGCUUGUGGUUUCUAUUCUAGUGAUCAUGAUCCUGCAUUGUUCAUUCAUGUUUCUUCACGAGGACGCACGUUGUUAUUACUAUAUGUUGAUGACAUGUUGAUUACAGGCGAUGAUCCAGACCAUAUUGCUCAUGUGAAGGCGUCUCUGAGUAAGGAAUUUCAAAUGUCUGACUUGGGGGCACUCAGUUAUUUCUUGGGCAUUGAGGUUUUGCAGACUCAAAAUGGUAUUUAUCUUUCUCAGGCCAAGUACAUACAAGAUCUUCUUGAUCGUUCUGGUCUUAGUGAUACUCGCACUGUUGCCACGCCUAUGGAUCUACACUUAUCUCUUCGUCCGACUGAUGGGACACCUUUGGAGGAUCCAUCUCGAUACAGACAUCUUGUUGGCAGCUUAGUUUAUCUUACUGUCACCAGGCCAGAUAUUGCUCAUGCGGUUCAGAUCUUGAGUCAGUUUGUCUCUGCUCCUACAUCAGUUCAUUAUGGGCACUUACUUCGUGUGCUUAGAUAUUUACGGGGGACAAAAACACAAUGUUUAUUUUAUGACUCAAAUUCCCCACUUCAGCUUCACGCUUACUCUGAUGCUACCUGGGCCAGUGAUCCUACAGAUCGUCGCUCCAUCACUGGUUACUGUAUUCUUCUUGGAUCAUCCCCUAUUGCUUGGAAAUCCAAGAAGCAAACUGCUGUAUCUAGAUCUAGUACUGAAGCAGAACUUCGAGCCCUGGCUACUACUACUGCUGAGAUUAUCUGGAUUCGUUGGCUCUUGGCUGAUCUAGGCGUUUCUUGUGACUCGCCUACACUUCUUCGCUGUGACAACACUGGAGCUAUACAAAUUUGUCAUGAUCCAGUGAAGCGUGAACUCACAAAACACAUUGGUGUUGAUGUCUCAUUCACUAGAUCUCAUUGUCAUCAGAAGACCAUUGAUCUUCAAUAUGUGCCUUCAGAAUUACAGCUUGCGGAUUUCUUCACAAAAGCACAAACUACGGCACAACAUCAGUUUCAUCUAAUCAAACUCAAUGCUUCAAAUCCUCCACUUCCGCCUUGAGUUUGACAGGGGGUGUUAAGGCCCAUAAGGCCCAUAUUGCCUAUAUGCCUAUAUAUAUGCUACAGUACCCGUGGGGGUGAUCAUCUCGCCUAAUCCAAGGCAAUGUGGGUCAGGACCAUGCUAUCUUCGAGCAAGGUGCUUCUGCAGGAAAUGUUGGAAAUGAGAAAAUUGUGGAGAAGAAGAGAGCUAACCCUGUUGCGCUGCUGCUAUCUUCUGCCAUGAUGUUGAGGCACUUGCAAUUUCCAUCAUUUGCUGACCGUUUGGAGACGGCAGUUAAGCGUGUCAUAGCAGAAGGCAAGUACAGAACCAAAGAUUUGGGCGGCACCAGCACAACCCAGGAAGUGAUAGAUGCUGUCAUUGCCAAACUGGGUUAAACACAAACCGUGUGUUUAAUACAAUUUUUUUCCUCAUGGACUAGGUAACUAGUCCUUACUAAAUGUUUGUUCUUGGUAUAGGUUUAGACUUUAGACCACCAUUUUGUUCGGCAAAUUCUUGUACAAUCUUCAGGUAUCUUGUUUCUGGCCUGGUUUGGGUGUGUGGUGUAACUGAGCAAACUCGUAUUAAUUUUUACGCAAAUUUUUGUGACCUUAAUUCUUAACUGGAAAUAAGAGAAAAAUAUGGAACAGUUCUCCUUUC